AUUGAACGCUGGCGGCAGGCCUAACACAUGCAAGUCGAGCGGAUGAAGGGAGCUUGCUCCUGGAUUCAGCGGCGGACGGGUGAGUAAUGCCUAGGAAUCUGCCUGGUAGUGGGGGAUAACGUCCGGAAACGGGCGCUAAUACCGCAUACGUCCUGAGGGAGAAAGUGGGGGAUCUUCGGACCUCACGCUAUCAGAUGAGCCUAGGUCGGAUUAGCUAGUCGGUGGGGUAAAGGCCUACCAAGGCGACGAUCCGUAACUGGUCUGAGAGGAUGAUCAGUCACACUGGAACUGAGACACGGUCCAGACUCCUACGGGAGGCAGCAGUGGGGAAUAUUGGACAAUGGGCGAAGGCCUGAUCCAGCCAUGCCGCGUGUGUGAAGAAGGUCUUCGGAUUGUAAAGCACUUUAAGUUGGGAGGAAGGGCAGUAAGUUAAUACCUUGCUGUUUUGACGUUACCAACAGAAUAAGCACCGGCUAACUUCGUG
rnacentral:rRNA from 1 species